AGUCUUUUUUUUUUUUUUUUAAAAAAAACUAAAAAAACAACAAUCCUCAAUACAUGCAGUUCAGGGUUAAAUAUCACAUUUGUAGCACAUUGUUGAGUCUCAACACGAAAAUAUGCAUCACCUGUAUAAUCCCAUCACAUAUUUUUCCAGCCUCUACAAUAUCUAGUUGGGGGUGUUUUCAUUUACACAUCCACAUAGCUCAGAAGCAUGUUAUUACUGGUUGAUCUGGCCCCAUGCUUCCCUGCCACGUCCCCUGCCCUG